UGCUCCGGGGCCCCCAGAGGUGUAGUUCGCGUCAGUCGCUUUUCAGUCGAGUACAUUCUCCGGACGCGGUUAAACGUGCUUUGGAUCGGCGCGCGCGCUCAAAACUUCACGCUUACAUGAGUAACUAAAACAAUAACAGAGCUCUGCUCAACAGUGCCCAAGGGUUGGAAGAAUUCUCUACGAGGGAGUGCAACAGCAGUUCACAUUAGAGUAAAAGUUACCUUCGCCAUGGUUCAGUGAGAAAAAAGUCACCUAAGGUUACACGUUAUGUUCUGUGUGCUGCACAUGGCCGGCAUCCGUAUUGUUGUUUGAAUGAGUGUGAAAAAAAAAACCUUUGAAAAGGGAAGUGAUUUUAAUUUGAAAUGUUUGGCGGUUUGUUGUCCGCUAUAUGAGGAGAAGUUGUGCCGUUUGCUGUUUAAUUUGUGUGCCGGUAUGCUGUUAUGAUACCAGAAUCUGUGCCCUGUGUGUGACUGACUCAUCGGAUGAAGCAACAGGUGGAAAGUUCAAACCCGUUGUUGGUGUCUGGAUUUCUCGGAAAUUGCAACUAUCGGAUUACUGUAACGCUGCGCUAGCUUCUUCAGUUGACAUGCAGUUAAAGAUAAAGUUAUCAUCGCUUAUAUUGGAAGUGGUACAAUGAACGACGAUCAACAAUGGAUUCCACCAGCCUUAAUUUCACACGGAACUCAUGCACUUCAGAUUUUUGCAAACAUGCCACCAGAAAACGAAAGGCAUCAUCUUACAAGUUUCGAAGAGUACGAUUAAAGUGGAUUCUCAGCAGUGUUCCGUGUGUUGCAGUAUUGCUAUUAACGUUCAUUCCAAUAGUGUCAUGUAAUCGUCCACCUCGGUUUUUGAUCGACGGUCAUUCAGAAAUAGUGCUUAGGCUAAAAGAAGGGCCCGACACGCCAGUCGGUUCACUGAUAUACAAAUUGAAAGGUUACGAUCCCGAUGAGGAUCCUUUAACAUUUGGAGUCCGUAAAGCGGUGGACAGUGAUGUGAUAAGAGUGGAACGAAGUGGUGUGAAUGAGGCUAAUGUUUACUUAAACAAAGAACU